GUGCCUGCAUUCAAGCUGCAGAUAAAAGCAGAGGUAUCUGUGCAUUACUAUGUGUUAAGUGCCGCCCAGGGACAGAAAACUUCACCUGGCUUUUCUGCUUCCCCUUCCCCAUUGCAGUCAGUAUAGAAACUCCUCCAGUCCCUACACACCCCCUGUAACCUCCCCCCACCAAGAUCUUUUCUCCUUCAAAAUGCUGGAAACAAGCAGCUGGAGUAGCAGGUGGGCAUAGCUUGUAUUAAUGAAGACCUAGACUUGUAAACGAUUGAAAAACGAGUUUCACCAAAAAGAAACGCCAAUGGAAAUUUACACAACCGCAAUAAUCACAACACACAAUUAAGAGGAAACCAUCUUGGGAGACCAAGGCGCCAACACCGUUUUUCACACGUUCAAUAGGGCAUGUACAGAAGACGGUGGACAAGGAUCCACAUAUACCCGGUCCUGUUUCUCAUCUAUCCAGAAGGAAAUUAAGUUUCAGAAAAGAAGAGAAUUUAAAUGAUACUUCUUACUCUAAACGUAAUGUGGACACAUGCAGGCUGUUGUGUAUUUCCUGGAAAAAUACAACAGAGCUUGCCUGAUGGACUGCAUUCUUCAGAGCGGGGAGCAAUGACCACCAUCCCUGGGAUCACGUGGGAUCAUGUUAAAAACAGAUCAGGCUAAAAAUCAUGUCACAUGUGGUCCGGCGCCACCUCCACUCCCCAGACUUAGGAGCAAAUCUUGCAGAUUCCUUUUAAAUAGGCUUUCCAAGUGGUUGCUAACUGCACUCAAGUUUGAGAAGCGGUGGGCUGCAGGGCCCUCAUUUGAGUAAUGCAGUCCAUAGUGCUGAAGACAGGGAACUUGGUUUUCACCUGCAUAAUUCAUCGACUUUUUUAACCAGCAACAAUUUAUGGUGUUCUUUCUCUGUCUCGUCCUGUUCUGAUCCCUGUCUCUCACCAAGGCAUUGACAUCCUAAUGCAUGUAAAUGCGUGUGUUCCAUGAGAUUAUGCCGGAAAGUUUGGGCUGCCACCCUAAGGUUAUCAAACAUUACAAGGGCAGCUUGCUAGAUGUCAUGCAUAUUCAGCCCAUCUGGAGUGGACUUUAGAAAUCUACAUAAUUAAUACACUUCCCGGGGGUGAUAACCACACUUUGAGAAACCCUAUUCUGGGGACUUGGGGUAAAGAAUGCAUAAUUUGUUGUGUAUGUUUAGGCUUCAGUUAACACAUUGUGCAAAGUCUGUUGUUCCUUUUUCUUUCUUUCUUUUGUAUUUUGACUUUUUAGGGCCGCAACUGCAGCAUAUGGAGGUUCCCAGGCUAGGGGUCAAAUGUGAGCUGUAGCCCCCAGCCUAAGUCACACCACAGCAACGUAGGAUCCAUGUUGUCUGCAAGCUACACCACAGCUCACUGCAAUGCCAGAUCCUUAAUCCACUGAGUGAGACCAGGGAUCGAACCUGCAGCCUCAUGGAUGCUAGUCAGAUUUGUUUCCACUGAGCCAUGAUGGGAAUUUCAAAGUCUGUACUUUUGAUUCCAAAAAGAGUAGAUAUUUUAUACCUAUCCAACAUUUUCCUUCCAAUUAUCAAGCCACUAGUUUUAUGAGCUGCAAUUAUAAAUGUGUGCUUUGGUUUAAUAACUCAGCGAGUAUUCAGCAAGUACUGGUGAGUACCUAUGGUAGAUCUUGCUUCCUGAAGGGCAUCCAGAAAACAAAGAUGGAAAUGAUGGGUCUCCCCAUUCAGAGAGCUAACAGGGAGGGAGGCUUGUCAGCCAUGAAUUUCCUCAUGUACUUUAGGAAAUGUUAUGGACAAAAGAGAGUUGGGAACAGGGAGGAAAAAUGACUGGUUAUACCUGAGGAAUCUGCAAGAUGUGCACAGAGGAAGUGACAUGGACGCAGGCUGAAAGAAUCCUACUAAUGAGAUUCCUGCUGUAGCUCAGCAGGUUAAGGACCCGACAUUGUCUCUGUGAAGAUGCGGGUUUGUUCCCUGGCCUUGCUCAUGGGCUAAGGAUCCAGUGUUGCUGAGCUGUGGUGUAGG
rnacentral:lncRNA from 1 species